UAAAUACUCCCUCCGUCCGAAAAUACUUGCCAUCAAAAUGGAUAAAAAGAGAUGUAUCUAAAACUAAAAUACGUCUAGAUACAUUUCCUUUUAUCCAUUUUGAUGACAAGUAUUUCCGGACGAAGGGAGUAUUUG
rnacentral:pre_miRNA from 1 species